UUCAACUAUGAUCGUUAGACCCAUGACGAGUUCACAAACCAGAAAAUUUCCAUAAAAAGACCGUUUCUUUCAACGGUUACUUCCAACACGUUUUUGCCAGCUUAUAAAUUGAUUUUUGGUAACGGUGACUUCUCAUUCCAGAUUCUCUCAAGUAUACGCAAUGAUGUAAUAACUGUUGGUACGGACAAGGGAUUCAUUCAUUUAUCAACUGCUCAAGCAUUACAGAUUAAUCAAUUUAAGUUUAUUUUUGUUCACAGUUAUUUACCCUUCUAUCUGUUAAUGUUUUUUUUUCUUACACUUUUCUUUCUCUCUUUUUUUUCUUCAUCUCAUUUCUCUGUUCAUAUUUUUUGGUUCCACUGAUGAAAAGUGAAAAAAAAGUUUGAAGUUGCUGCUGUCCUUGGAAACCCAAAAAUAUUCUGGCAUGGCUUAGAAUGAGUAUCAAUUCCUGUGGUUGACGUGUCCUCUAAAUUUCAUUUUACAAAGAAUCUGAGGAAACAAAAGGCAAAGUAAUUGUUACAAAAUACAUUUCAAAUUAGACAACAAAGGCAAAACAAAGGAACCAACGGAAUUGGAAAAUGAUGAUGAUAAGCUUGGUGAAAUUGGAAAAGUAUAAUUAUAAUUUAUUUCCGUAUUCAUGGGAGCCUAGUUUGAUAACAGUACAAGUCCGAAAAAAUCCAAUAAAGAAAACUGUCUCCCUGAGUUAAUCCUAAUGAAAGUUGCAAGACUAAAUUGACAAGCCAAGAAAAGAAACGGAUUUCUGGUCCAUAACUGAUAAAGCUAGAGUUUAGUGCAAGCAAAAAGAAAACAGGAACCCGUUUUUCACUAUUUAGAAGGCCAUACAAUAACGAGGUCCAAAACCUUGAACGGACCUUUAAAGAUCCAGGAAUAAAGAACGAAAGGGUUGUGUUGAAUUGUGUUACCAAGAAAAGCAGAAAAGAUGUAAAGAGAGAAAAAAGCAAAUGCAACAUUCAAAAGAAAAGAAAAGAAAACAGGUUACCAUGUGAAACUUGUGCUAUUCGUUGAUGAUGAGGGAUGGGAUACACAACUGAAGAGCCUUGGAAUGAUGUUUUUUAACACUUUUACUUAUGCACAACGGCAUUAAAUCAAAAAAAGGAGAAAGGCAAAGAAAAAGUAUAAUUAACCAAAAGCUGAGGAUUUAUCAAGGUCUUUCAAUUCAAUCAUCUUUUCAUAAAUCUGUUUUUCAAUUGUACAUCAAUUGCUAUUUAUUUAACUUUUUUUUCUUAUUUCUUGUUACUAAAUCUACUUUACUCCUUUUUCUCCUCUUUUUUUCUUCUUCUCACCAUUCUUCUUCUUUUCUCUUCCCUUCUCUUUUUUUUAAAUCUACAAGUUCUCAAGGUCUCCAGGUAGUGAAAUAUCACGGAAAAACCUUGACAGUCCAAGCAUAGAGCCUAAUUCAUACAACCUCGGUAAACCUGAAACCCGCUAUUAAAUCUUUGAAUUGGGUUACCCUGGUUACGCAAGUAAAAAAAAGGCUUACAAUGGGAUCCACUGUUUUCCUCAUCAUUUUCCCUCUUCACAAUUAUUAUAAACUUCAUCAUCCAUUUAAAUUAUACCAACGUUUAUAUAUGCAAACACACUCACACUAACAACCAAUAUAUCAUCAACAGUAAAAUUAUGCACACACAACACAUCCAUUCUCAUUGGGCUGGUAACACAAUCUUCCGGGUUUCUGCUGUUGAUCUAUCUUUGAUAUUUAAAAAUGCAUCCUGGACGGUAAUGGCUCCCCUAGUUUAUCCAGUUUUCUGUAAAGGUGUGGCUAUGUGCGUAUAUUAUAUAAGUUUUACACACACAUAGUUUUAUCCAAAUUUACAUUGUUAGUGUACGCACCAACAAGUCUAUGGAGAUAUUUCGUUACUAGAUCAGCCUGAAUGACGAUGAUCCUUGAGAAAGGUCGAUAAUAAUAAUAAUAGUCAUAAUAGUUAAAAAAUCAUAACAAUAAUGAUUAUGAUUAUGGUGAUUAUGAUUAUACUUAAUUUGCUCAUUGUUCACUUGUGUGAAGAGGAAAAAAAAUGUAUACAUACGUACACAUAAAACAUACACAUAUAUCCACAUCCACAUCUACACCAAAACCUCAUGAAGGUAUCCACACCCUUUUCCGGUCAAUGAUGGCCCCUAGUAACAAACUAUGGGUAAGGGCGUCAGCUAAACCGGUAAUACCUAAAACAACAAUAACUUCACCACCACCACCACCACCAAACUCAACAACGGACAUGACAAGAUGGAACAGGUACAUCUCAUGGUAUAAAAUUAGAUAACUGGAAAAAAAAGGAAAAACGAACAAUGAACAAGUUAAUGAAUGAAAAUGGAAAAGAGAAAAUCAUUGGCGUCAUUAAUUUAAAAUCUUCAUCAACUCUCCGUAUUCUAAUGCUGUUAAUUUUUUUGGUCGUUUUCUCUCUCUCUCUCUCUACUCACAACUGUUUACCUUCAAGUUUCUCCUCUUUAAAUUGAUUCACACUUUCCACCGCCACAACAUUCACCCUUACUGUCAACAAGAAACCGCAGAUGAUCAUUUCUGUUUCAACCAAAGUUACAAUUGAGGAAAUUAAAAGAUUCAGAAAGAUGGAAAAAAAGGGACACCGAAUAUUGCCCAAAAAAAAGUAAAUCUAAUGACAUUUACCAGGCUACUUCUUAUCAUCAGAUGAAUAAGAAAUAAAAGAUGAUAUGUCAGCUACGCUAAAGUUUAACCAGGUUGGCAUCUUUCAUUGUUCCUCUUUUUUGGACCUCAUUUGCAAAUUCAAGAGAGUAGCAUUGAAACAUAUUUCUAUUAGCAAUUGAUGGAUUGGAUAAACAUUGGUAAAGUCAAAAACUAACCAUUCUUGGUGCUCAGUGACUAAUGGGCAACAUCAUUGUAAAUGGUUUAUUGAAAAGCAAUGGAAUCAAAGAAGAAGAAGAAAAAAGCAAAACCUGGAACAAAUAAAAAUGAUCUGAGCCCAAAAGAUGAAGCAAGAUUGAACACUCCUUACAUGCAUCUUAUAGCUGGUCCUUGAUCUUUGGUGUUUCAUAAUAAUAAAAGAAACUGGGAGAAACAGUAUUUUUUGCAGUAAACUGUUGCUAAUGUGGUAAGGAAAGUGGUGAUUAAGAUAAAGAAAUUGAAUGGAAAACAUUUAUAUCUAAAGAAAAAUCAGCAUCUACUUGAUAAGGUGGUACGAAUACGAAAUUAAGGAGAAACAACUAAUCUGGAACUGUUUUGUGGAAAAUUGUAUCUUAAUUAACCGUUUCUAACAGAAAAUUGCAAAUUAAAUCAAAUCCAAGCAAAUCAAAAAGUUUCACCGUGCAUAAUAAACCAGUUAAUUGUGGAAAUAAAUCUUGUCGAUUUGUUGUUCCCUUGAACCAUGAUUGGUGCUCUUUAUGGUUAACAUUUGAUCAAUUGAACAAAAUGGAAACAUCAUUUCCAAUUUUAAACAGUUUUGUCUGGACAAGAGGAAAAGCAAAAGAAACCAAGUAACUUAAUCUCGCAAUAAACAAAGAACCUGUAAUUUAUAUAUUAACUGAUGUUAACUUUUUCAAGGUUCCCUAAAUGAUUCGUUGAUCAUCAUCAAGUUAAACACUUUCUCUCUUUGUCAUCAAUGGACUCAAAAAGUCUCACAUGCAACACGCAUACAACUUUGUUUAAAAGUUUGCAUGCACACACAGUUUCAAGUCUUGUUCCUUGCAAUGAACUUUAGCACGAUAGAUUGAAUGUUUUUCAAGGAGAAGUAGACAGACGUAAAAGAAAACUUGAGUAAAAUCAGAAUAACAUGGAAAAAGUGAUCAAAAGGAAACAGGGAAAAGACAUGGAUUGACCUUGCAAUAUUUAUGAACAAAAAAAGCUCAUGUUUAUCCAUUCAAUCAAUGAUACAAAGAAGGAGAAGGAAAGAGAAAGAACCAGAGACAUAAAAAAAAGGACUUCGAUUAUCUGUGAAUUUAGGUGGCAUCUUUUUGAUGGAUCAGGCGCCAUGUUAUCCCCCAUGUAUAUCAGUCUGAUUAAAGUUGAUCGAUUGGUUCUGUGCAUAACCACACACAUUGAAGAGAAGCAAGAAAAGAAAGAAAAGAAAAAAAAAUCAAGAGUCUCCAUUUCAAGGAACGAAAGAUGAUAAAGAGUACGAUGGUGAUGUCAAUGGUUAAAAUGAUGAUAAUUUAAUGGCUGUAAAGAUAUGCAAAGAAAAAAGAGAGAGCUGAAAAAUGGAACCAAAGGUUUUGACAUUGCAUAAAAUCAAUUGGAAUUGAUGAUGAUAAUGACGAUGACGAUGAUGAUGAUGAGUAUAAUGAUGAUUGAUUCAAUACGUACUUUUUUUUCAUCAUUUGCAUCAUCUUUUGCUUUCUCUCUUUUCUAAAUUCUCUAUCGAGAAACGAUUAGCAUGAAAAAGUUGCAAACAACUCAAAAAAUUCACUAUCAACAUCCUCUUCAUCUUCUUAUUCAUCAUCACCACCACCAUCAUGAUGAUGAUGAUCGUCUUCUUUCCAUGUGACAAACAUGAAGAUGUCAACAAACGGCCCACAGUUUUAUCUGUAUUCAUUUAUAAUCAAAGAUUGAUUUCACCUUUAACUUGAGUUGAACUCAAAUCUUGAAGUAGGAUGAAAACUUGCAAAAUAGCAAAAUUGAUUUUAAAGCAAAACAAACCAUGUUACUCUUUUGCUUAAUCGUUGCACUUUCUCUUCUCAUUUUUGCUCAUCGCCUGAUUUUCCUCUUCUUUUUCCUUCCUGAUCAUGUAUUAAAAACAGCCUAGGAAAAGCGACCCUCAACAGUUCAACGUCCUCCAACUUGUGAUAUCUUUGCCUGGUUAGCUGGACUUUUCUUGCUGCAACAGAUCAACAUCAUUAUCCUUGAUAUCAUUCCUGGUUCUUCUCCUCGUCAUCUUGAUCAUCUUUACCCUUGUUGCAUCAUUUUGAUCUGAGCAUUUACCUUUUUCUUCACCAAAUGGGAUAAGAUGGUAACCCUACGGACUUACAAAUCCCUCAAAAUUCAAGGUUACCCGCAAAGCAAAAAAGCCAGAUCUUUCCUGAUAUUUAAACUUGAGAAGCAUCUUUUCACUGUUGACCAGAUUUUUAUUUUACUUUUUGCAAAGCAGCAACAGCACUCAUUGAUUGGCUCAACUUACUUUCCCAUUGCUUAAUUUUCACCCCUUUUCUUUUCUUUCCUUUCAAUUUUGAUCCCUAGAUGAAGAUGUAGAAUAAUCUUUAUUCUGUAUUUUCACUUGGUGCUUUUAAUGAACAAAAGGCGUAUCUAGUUACCAAUGAUGUAUCAUGCCUGGUUUCAUUUUGAAGAAAAAAAACUUUCUUCUUCUUUCUUCUUCUUCGCUAAACCCAAUUAGUUGCAUUAUUGCUGUUCACCAAAGACAAAAAUCAACAAUAAACAAAACAAAAACCAGAACCCAUUGUAUAAUUUAACACAUAGUAUUUAUAUAAUUUAUUAAUUGAUUAACUUUUUCCUCUUCUUCUUAAUCACUUCACCCAUUCCACAAUUAUUAUCAUUGAUAUUAUAAUUUUUUCUUCUUCUCAUUAAUUGCAGAUUAAAUUUUUCAUUGGAGAAACAAAUACGCCAAAUGAAAUUAUCAUUAAGAGUCAACGUUUGAAGGGAGAGAGAGAUGAAGACAAAAAGGACAUUUAAUGUUAUUGACUUGCUAUUGUUUUGCAUUCUUUCAAUGCAAUCAUAAUUCUUUGCACCAAAACCAGAAUCAAUGGAGGAUUACAGCAAACAGAGAAGAAACAAAGAAGGAAAUGAUGAUAGCUACGAAAUGUUGUUUAUUGUUGUUGUUGAUGAGCAAAGGGAGAGAAGGAGAGAGUAAAUAGAUUGUGGAAAACAAAUCUUCUUCAAAUGACAAAUGUUGCAAAAAGGAGGUUCAAUUUUGUUAGGUUGCAUCGUUGGUUUUAAACAGCAGUUUAAAAUCAAGGUAAAUAGUCAAAGUUGAUGUCCAAGUGAGAAAAGAUUGCAAAUAAUUUUUGGAAAGGGCAAAACAAGUCAAAGCCAUUCUUAAUCAAAUAAUGUUGACAACACUUAUGCGACAAUAUUUAAUCGUUAAAUUGUUCAUCCUACACUUUAUCUCGCUAAUGUUGAUUGUUAUCUCUGGGUACAACAACAACAACAACAACUGUAAAAGGAAACUGAUGAUAAUGAAGAUGAACAUUUUCCUCGACAACAACAUCAACAACUCUUAACCCGAGUAAAAAACAGUAUCAUCAAAUUGCUUGCAUAAUAAACAACAUUGGAUGUUAAAAGAGCAAGAGAUUGGAGAUGGCGAAAAAAGAAAGAAAAUUGAAUACAAAAGAAACGUGAUCAUCACCACAGUUAUUUGGCAGAUUAAACAUGUAAACGUCGACUGAACUUGAUGAUUAGUGGUUACAGGAUCUCAUAAUUAUCAUGAUCAAACACAGGUAAAAAAGGCCAGGAAAGUUGGUUUGAGUAAAAAGCAGAAAAAAAGAAGAAGAAGAAGUUAAAUUAUGAUGAUGAGGGGAAGAGAGUUAAAGAGAGAGAGAGAGAAAAAAAUGAGUACAAAAAAAACUGGUAAGUUGAGUUGAUUUUGUGUUAUUAAUUCAAUGUUAUGACCAUUAACCCAGCAAUUGUGUUAUUAUUAUUUGACAAUCAUGGUUAAUUUGAUUGCAGAAAAGGUAAGGUGAGAUGUUGAUGGUUUGUUGAGUUUUAAUAGCUUAAAGUUAGGGUUAAUUUAUUUGUCAUUAAACUUUCAUUCAUAUUGGUAAAUAGCAAAAAAAGGACCAAAAAUCAAGAUAAUGGUGAUGAUGAGAUGUUUCAAGCAAAAAGGUUAAACUGUAAACAAUUUUACGAAAAAAAAGUCAUUUUCUUGUUGUUUACACUUUACAGUUUAAACAUGCAUUUGAAUGAUUUACAAUUAAGCAAAAAAGUGAUGAAAAAAGUGAUCUUGUCUCAACAAUCAAUUGAUCAAGUUGGAUUAGUGGAUAUUAAAGGAUGAAGCAGCAACUAAACGUGUUUAAAUGUUGACUCCAAAAAAGUAAAUCUAGAAAAUUGUUUUCACUCAGUUAAUUGAGUUAAUUGAUUCGAUGCUUGUAACAACCUUUAAUCAUUUAUGACGACCAUGAUUUCCCAAUGAUAAUUAAUAUAAUUUUGCUCUUUUUUCUGGUCCUUUUUUUACCCGUUUCUGUUACC